UGGGGAAUAUUGGACAAUGGGCGAAAGCCUGAUCCAGCCAUGCCGCGUGUGUGAAGAAGGUCUUCGGAUUGUAAAGCACUUUAAGUUGGGAGGAAGGGCAUUAACCUAAUACGUUAGUGUUUUGACGUUACCGACAGAAUAAGCACCGGCUAACUCUGUGCCAGCAGCCCCGUUAAUACAGAGGGUGCAAGCGUUAAUCGGAAUUACUGGGCGUAAAGCGCGCGUAGGUGGUUUGUUAAGUUGGAUGUGAAAUCCCCGGGCUCAACCUGGGAACUGCAUUCAAAACUGACUGACUAGAGUAUGGUAGAGGGUGGUGGAAUUUCCUGUGUAGCGGUGAAAUGCGUAGAUAUAGGAAGGAACACCAGUGGCGAAGGCGACCACCUGGACUAAUACUGACACUGAGGUGCGAAAGCGUGGGGAGCAAACA
rnacentral:rRNA from 1 species